rnacentral:tRNA from 1 species
UCUAAUAUGGCAGAUAAGUGCGGUGGAUUUAAGCCCCAUAUAUAAAGAAAUAUUUCUUUUAUUAGAA